AUUGCUUCUCAGCCAUUUGGCUAAGAUCAAGUGUAGUAUCUGUUCUUGCCAAUUUAAUAUCUAAUACGUCCUCUAUUUGAGGACAAUAUAUUUAAUGGAUUUUUGGAGUGGGGAGGUGGAAUAGGAGCUUCCUCCAUCAACUCCAUGCAUUGACCCGGCAUUGCAAUACUUCCGGGAACAGUGUACCUCCC